GGGUUGUGAGGUUAAGCGACUAAGCGUACACGGUGGAUGCCCUGGCAGUCAGAGGCGAUGAAGGGCGUGCUAAUCUGCGAUAAGCGCCGGUAAGGUGAUAUGAACCGUUAUAACCGGCGAUACCCGAAUGGGGAAACCCAGUGUGAUUCGUCACACUAUCAUUAACUGAAUCCAUAGGUUAAUGAGGCGAACCGGGGGAACUGAAACAUCUAAGUACCCCGAGGAAAAGAAAUCAACCGAGAUUCCCCCAGUAGCGGCGAGCGAACGGGGAGGAGCCCAGAGCCUGAAUCAGCAUGUGUGUUAGUGGAAGCGUCUGGAAAGGCGCGCGAUACAGGGUGACAGCCCCGUACACAAAAGCGCAUGUGCUGUGAGCUCGAUGAGUAGGGCGGGACACGUGGUAUCCUGUCUGAAUAUGGGGGGACCAUCCUCCAAGGCUAAAUACUCCUGACUGACCGAUAGUGAACCAGUACCGUGAGGGAAAGGCGAAAAGAACCCCGGCGAGGGGAGUGAAAAAGAACCUGAAACCGUGUACGUACAAGCAGUGGGAGCNNNNNNNGUGACUGCGUACCUUUUGUAUAAUGGGUCAGCGACUUAUAUUCUGUAGCAAGGUUAACCGUAUAGGGGAGCCGGAGGGAAACCGAGUCUUAACCGGGCGUUAAGUUGCAGGGUAUAGACCCGAAACCCGGUGAUCUAGCCAUGGGCAGGUUGAAGGUUGGGUAACACUAACUGGAGGACCGAACCGACUAAUGUUGAAAAAUUAGCGGAUGACCUGUGGCUGGGGGUGAAAGGCCAAUCAAACCGGGAGAUAGCUGGUUCUCCCCGAAAGCUAUUUAGGUAGCGCCUCGUGAAUUCAUCUCCGGGGGUAGAGCACUGUUUCGGCUAGGGGGCCAUCCCGGCUUACCAACCCGAUGCAAACUGCGAAUACCGGAGAAUGUUAUCACGGGAGACACACGGCGGGUGCUAACGUCCGUCGUGAAGAGGGAAACAACCCAGACCGCCAGCUAAGGUCCCAAAGUCAUGGUUAAGUGGGAAACGAUGUGGGAAGGCCCAGACAGCCAGGAUGUUGGCUUAGAAGCAGCCAUCAUUUAAAGAAAGCGUAAUAGCUCACUGGUCGAGUCGGCCUGCGCGGAAGAUGUAACGGGGCUAAACCAUGCACCGAAGCUGCGGCAGCGANNNNNNNNNNNNNNNNNNNNNNNNNNNNNNNNNNNNNNNNNNNNNNNNNNNNNNNNNNUGCUGGAGGUAUCAGAAGUGCGAAUGCUGACAUAAGUAACGAUAAAGCGGGUGAAAAGCCCGCUCGCCGGAAGACCAAGGGUUCCUGUCCAACGUUAAUCGGGGCAGGGUGAGUCGACCCCUAAGGCGAGGCCGAAAGGCGUAGUCGAUGGGAAACGGGUUAAUAUUCCCGUACUUGGUGUUACUGCGAAGGGGGGACGGAGAAGGCUAUGUUGGCCGGGCGACGGUUGUCCCGGUUUAAGCGUGUAGGUGUGUGUUCCAGGUAAAUCCGGUUCACUUUAACACUGAGGCGUGACGACGAGGCACUACGGUGCUGAAGCAACAAAUGCCCUGCUUCCAGGAAAAGCCUCUAAGCAUCAGGUAACACGAAAUCGUACCCCAAACCGACACAGGUGGUCAGGUAGAGAAUACCAAGGCGCUUGAGAGAACUCGGGUGAAGGAACUAGGCAAAAUGGUGCCGUAACUUCGGGAGAAGGCACGCUGACACGUAGGUGAAGUGAUUUACUCAUGGAGCUGAAGUCAGUCGAAGAUACCAGCUGGCUGCAACUGUUUAUUAAAAACACAGCACUGUGCAAACACGAAAGUGGACGUAUACGGUGUGACGCCUGCCCGGUGCCGGAAGGUUAAUUGAUGGGGUCAGCGUAAGCGAAGCUCCUGAUCGAAGCCCCGGUAAACGGCGGCCGUAACUAUAACGGUCCUAAGGUAGCGAAAUUCCUUGUCGGGUAAGUUCCGACCUGCACGAAUGGCGUAAUGAUGGCCAGGCUGUCUCCACCCGAGACUCAGUGAAAUUGAACUCGCUGUGAAGAUGCAGUGUACCCGCGGCAAGACGGAAAGACCCCGUGAACCUUUACUAUAGCUUGACACUGAACAUUGAGCCUUGAUGUGUAGGAUAGGUGGGAGGCUUUGAAGUGUGGACGCCAGUCUGCAUGGAGCCGACCUUGAAAUACCACCCUUUAAUGUUUGAUGUUCUAACGUGGACCCGUAAUCCGGGUUGCGGACAGUGUCUGGUGGGUAGUUUGACUGGGGCGGUCUCCUCCUAAAGAGUAACGGAGGAGCACGAAGGUUGGCUAAUCCUGGUCGGACAUCAGGAGGUUAGUGCAAUGGCAUAAGCCAGCUUGACUGCGAGCGUGACGGCGCGAGCAGGUGCGAAAGCAGGUCAUAGUGAUCCGGUGGUUCUGAAUGGAAGGGCCAUCGCUCAACGGAUAAAAGGUACUCCGGGGAUAACAGGCUGAUACCGCCCAAGAGUUCAUAUCGACGGCGGUGUUUGGCACCUCGAUGUCGGCUCAUCACAUCCUGGGGCUGAAGUAGGUCCCAAGGGUAUGGCUGUUCGCCAUUUAAAGUGGUACGCGAGCUGGGUUUAGAACGUCGUGAGACAGUUCGGUCCCUAUCUGCCGUGGGCGCUGGAGAACUGAGGGGGGCUGCUCCUAGUACGAGAGGACCGGAGUGGACGCAUCACUGGUGUUCGGGUUGUCAUGCCAAUGGCACUGCCCGGUAGCUAAAUGCGGAAGAGAUAAGUGCUGAAAGCAUCUAAGCACGAAACUUGCCCCGAGAUGAGUUCUCCCUGAGACUUAGAGUCUCCUGAAGGAACGUUGAAGACGACGACGUUGAUAGGCCGGGUGUGUAAGCGCAGCGAUGCGUUGAGCUAACCGGUACUAAUGAACCGUGAGGCUUAACCUUACAACGCCGAAG
rnacentral:rRNA from 1 species